rnacentral:misc_RNA from 1 species
GAUGACGAACGUAGCGAAAUGCGAUACGUAAUGUGAAUUGCAGAAUUCAGUGAAUCAUCGAGUCUUUGAACGCACAUUGCGCCCCCUGGUAUUCCGGGGGGCAUGCCUGUCCGAGCGUCAUUGCUGCCCUCAAGCACGGCUUGUGUGUUGGGCCUCCGUCCUCCUCCCGGGGGACGGGCCCGAAAGGCAGCGGCGGCACCGCGUCCGGUCCUCGAGCGUAUGGGGCUUCGUCACCCGCUCUUGUAGGCCCGGCCGGCGCUUGCCGACACAUCAAUCUUUUUUCCAGGUUGACCUCGGAUCAGGCAGGGAUACCCGCUGAACUUAAGCAUAUCAAUAAGCGGAGGA